AAUUAAUAACAUAUGUUCUGAAUGUUUUAUGGUUUGUUUUUCUCAUGGUAAACACUCAAUCUUUUGUGACAAUCGGACUCGAAUUGUUCGUCGACCAAAACAGUUAUGGAUCAUGAAAACAACGCUCCUUCGUUGUUAAAGUUGAUUAAGGACUAUGAUCUUAUAUUUUUUGAAUUGUUCGUCAACCAAAAAUAGUUAUGGAUCAUGAAAACAACACUCCUUCGUUAUCAAAGUUGAUUGGGGACUAUGAUUCUAUAUUUUUGGAAAUACCGUAUGAUUUUGCAACCUUAUUGUGGGGAGAACAACUUCCAUAUGUCAAUGUCUUAAAAUUAUUGAUGAUGAUUUAUCUUAUGGAUCCUAAAAACAUCUCUCAUUCGUUGUUAAAGGUGAUUGAGGAAUAUGAUCCUAUAUUG